rnacentral:rRNA from 1 species
UACGUAGGGUGCGAGCGUUAAUCGGAAUCACUGGGCGUAAAGCGCGUGUAGGCGGCUCGAUAAGUCUGCUGUGAAAGUCCAAGGCUCAACCUUGGGAUGCCGGUGGAUACUGUCGAGCUCGAGUCCGGAAGAGGAGUGUGGAAUUCCUGGUGUAGCGGUGAAAUGCGCAGAUAUCAGGAGGAACACCAAUGGCGAAGGCAGCACUCUGGGACGUGACUGACGCUGAGACGCGAAAGCGUGGGGAGCAAACAGG